GAUAGAGUAGCAGUUGUAGAGAGCGAGAGAGAGAGGGACAGUGAGAGAGCAGGAAGAGGUAGACGAAACAAAUCAUCUGACACAGAGUUUCAAGGAAACUACAGGAAGAAAAAAUGAAGGACUGGGGGAGAGUGAGUGAAUAGAGGAAAACUUGAAUAACAACUUCAAAAAACAGCGAGAAAGUUGACCGACAGUGGAAUGAGUAUUAGGAUAGAACAACACUGCUAACAGUGGAGGAGUGAAAGACGUCCCCAAAAAUGUUGACGCUCCCCAGAGAACCCCCCGAGGACAACAGGAUGCAGAGUUUCUGGAUGCAUGAUGCUGCCACCACCAUGCUUCACUGUAGGGAUGGUGCCAGGUUUCCUCCAGACGUGACGCUUGGCAUUCAGGCCAAAGAUAAUCUGAGAAUCUUUAGGUGAGAGUUUUCAGGUGUCUUUUGACAAACUCCAAGCGUGCUGUCAUGUGCCUUUUACUGAGGAAUGACUUCCAUCUGGCCACUCUACCAUAAAGCCCUGAUUGGUGAAGGUUCUCCUAUCUCCACAGAGGAACUGUAGAGCUCUGUCAGAGUGACCAUCGGGUUCUUGGUCACCUCCCUGACCAAGAAUGAGCGAUGAGCUGUCCUUUAAAGCAGGUGAAGUGUUCCUGAAGGUUGAGGAGGAGGAUGACCAGGGCUGGUGCAGGGGGAUGCUGGAUGGAGGAAAGGACGGCUUCUACCCAGCUAAUUACAUUGAGGCUGUUGUGCAGUGAUGAUGUCAUCCUGCCACGCCCACACUCAAGUGUUACCUCAAGUGUUACAAAAUGUGCAUGUGUUCAUUGACAAAUCCACUUUGGUGCAAAAACAAUUUAGAAUUUUGAGUUGACUUUGACAUCUCACCAAAAUAACCAUAAACAUGAAAUGUUAACGCCCACAAUGUUAUCAUAAUCAUCAUGCUGAAAUAUGCAAUGUACAUUUUUAUCUAAAGAUUGAUACCCUCAAUUAUCUAAUUUUAUAUCACCAAAUUUUUACAUUCUGGCACAAAGAACAAGAGGUAAAUGAGAGGUAAAUACAAAAAAUACUAUAGUAAGUGCCUAAUAAAUGCCAAAGUAAGUAAUGGGGUUGACCGUAACUUAACCAAUUAAUCUUAAAUCUGCCAUAAAUCGCCUUGUGACCUGGGGAAUGAAAGCUUGCUGUGUGCAACAGGGAGGGUCAAUUGAAUUCAAGCUUUGCUCUUGCAGGAAUCUCUCUGCUUCCACAUUGUCCUUGAAAAUCUUUUUCUUUCCCUUCCAAGUAGAGGGGUCGCUUGGAAUGCCAGUGUGUGUCUGACAUUCUUCCUUUGUAGUUGUUUCUUUGCCAUUGCAACCUUCUUCAUUGCCAGUUCCCUGGACAGGUCCAGGAAAAAGACAGCCAACGGUCUUCUCACUGAACAUCACCCUUUUCUUUCGUCUCUUUUUGUAUCUUGUCCCGGGCUUCAGAUCUUAGGAAGGAGAUGAGAACCGUUCUCCGGGGGCCCAAUCCUGUCAGGCAUAGUUAAACUGCGAUGGGUUUGUUCAAUUUCAAAUUCGUGCCUGUCGUCAAAUCCAAAUCCUUCUGCGAUGAUUUUGGUCCACCACCAGCCUCACUGCCCUCUUUCAGAUGAAUCAAUCUCACCGUAUUUCUCCUACUUCUGUUCUCAAGUUCUUCGACACGAUUCCACAAUUAUGUCCAGCUUUAUCUCGCGACUCUCAUUACCCUUCUCUAGAAGGGAGAUGGUAUCCUCCACGGUUGAAAUUCGUCCCACUGCCCCAUCAUCCUCUCUUGUAUCGCAUCAACUCUUUCCUUUAGCUCGGUAGUUCUUGUUUUUAUCGUGGAGACAUCAGACCGACCAUGAGAAAUGCUGCAACUGAAUAUGCAUUUUCUUGUUUGCUUAUGGCCCCAUAGACCCCUUUCUGUGCCAAGCUGUCAUCAAGGCAAAGGGUGGCUAUUUUGAAUAGUCUAAAAUAUGUCAGAUAUAUUUUUAUUUGUUGAACACAUUUUAUUUUGGUUGCUACAUGAUUCUAUGUGUGUUAUUUCAUAGUUUUGAUUUUUUAUUUAUUUAUUUUUAUUUAACCUUUAUUUAACCAGGUAGGCUAGUUGAGAACAAGUUCUCAUUUGCAACUGCGACCUGGAUAAAGCUUAGCAGUAUGAACAGACAACACAGAGUUACACAUGGAGUAAACAAUUAACAAGUCAAUAACACAGUACAAAAAAGGCGAGUCUAUAUACAUUGUGUGCAAAAGGCAUGAGGUGGUAGGCGAAUAAUUACAAUUUUGCAGAUUAGCACUGGAGUGAUAAAUGAUCAGAUGGUCAUGUACAGGUAGAGAUACUGGUGUGCAAAAGAGCAGAAAAGUAAAUAAAUAAAAACAGUGUGGGGAUGAGGUAGGUGAAAAUGGGUGGGUUAUUUACCAAUAGACUAUGUACAGCUGCAGCGAUCGGUUAGCUGCUCAGAUAGCACAUGUUUGAAGUUGGUGAGGGAGAUAAAAGUCUCCAAUGAUGAGAAAAUAGUCAAAAUAAAGAACCCCUGGAAUGAGUAGGUGUGUCCAAACAUUUGACUGGUACUGUAUAUGUGUAUUAAAAUGGUCAAAAGUUUAGUAUUUGGUCCCAUAUUCUUAGCACGCAAUGAUUACAUCAAGCUUGUGACUACAAACUUGUUGGAUGCAUUUGCUGUUUGUUUUACUUGUGUUUCAGAUUAUUUUUGUGCCCAAUAAAAACGAAUGUAUUGUGUCA